rnacentral:rRNA from 1 species
GUCGUAACAAGGUCUCCGUAGGUGAACCUGCGGAGGGAUCAUUACAAGAACGCCCGGGCUACGGCCUGGUUAUUCAUAACCCUUUGUUGUCCGACUCUGUUGCCUCCGGGGCGACCCUGCCUUCGGGCGGGGGCUCCGGGUGGACACUUCAAACUCUUGCGUAACUUCGCAGUCUGAGUAAACUUAAUUAAUAAAUUAAAACUUUUAACAACGGAUCUCUUGGUUCUGGCAUCGAUGAAAAACGCAGCGAAAUGCGAUAAGUAAUGUGAAUUGCAGAAUUCAGUGAAUCAUCGAAUCUUUGAACGCACAUUGCGCCCCCUGGUAUUCCGGGGGGCAUGCCUGUUCGAGCGUCAUUUCACCACUCAAGCCUCGCUUGGUAUUGGGCAACGCGGUCCGCCGCGUGCCUCAAAUCGUCCGGCUGGGUCUUCUGUCCCCUAAGCGUUGUGGAAACUAUUCGCUAAAGGGUGUUCGGGAGGCUACGCCGUAAAACAACCCCAUUUCUAAGGUUGACCUCGGAUCAGGUAGGGAUACCCGCUGAACUUAAGCAU